CACCUCUCUCUCUCUCUUUGCUCAAACAAUCAAUCCACAACAUAAAAAAAAAAAAAAGAAAACCCUAACUUUCUCUUCUAAUUUAUCUCGCCUCCCUCUCUCUCUCUCCUGUAGCUGCCGCAGAUCUCCCAGCCAGCUCCGGUGACCUCGCCCACGUAUCCUUCUUUUCUCUUUCUUCCUCUCUGGCGGCCUAAACAUAUGGAGCGCCUCCCCUCUCUCUCUGCCCAGAUGCGCGACCUGCGCAUCGCCUCUCUCUCUCUGUGCCCAGAUGCGCAACCUGACCGAUUUUUAUGGUACUGAUUCAGUUGGAUUGCGCAUAAAGAAGCAGAAAUGGCUAGUUUCAGACCGCCCAGUUGGAUUGAUUUUAAAUGUCCAAUAUCGAUCCCCUUUACAACUCGAGUAUGCUUCUCCAAAGUGAUGGAGGCGAUUUAAGGUUUCUGAUAGUUCGUGGUUCUGGCUGGGAUUGAAGAGGCAAUGUUUGGAUGUGAUAAUUUUAUUUGUUUUUUCUUGUUGUAUUGUUCAUACUUUCUGGGUUUGUAGUCAUUUUUUUUUUUUUUUACUGUUAUUGUAGUUUAUGUAUUUUAUUUAAAUUAUACUUGUAUUUUUUUAAUCACUUAUUCUAUAUUACUGCUAUUAAUUAUAAUA